rnacentral:lncRNA from 1 species
CCUGGGCCUGGUGGUGAGGAACCCUAUGUAGUCUCUAGGACUUGAGACGUCAGGAUGUCAAUCGUCUCCUUAGCAGGGCCUCUGACAAUCCCAGGACUUGGAAAAACAUCAAAAGGGGACCAGCUGAAUCACAAAUUAUCUUCGGACCCUCCUCCAGGGGAAGAGACACAAAUUCAACACAUAAGUGCCCCUCAAAUGAUCCACUCUACUGUGUGCACUGAAGUGUAUGCCUGAGCCCUUCAUCAUGUCCAUUUACUUGGGACACAGGAUUUGUUUGGUUUAUGGAAACUUCCAGGGGAAGCAGGAGGUUAGGACCGUGCAGCAUAUGAACUCUGGGAGCGCACUGUUCAGUCUGUAGUGGAGGCAUUUGGACACUCGGACUACGGAAGGAGGGACUUACUCUGUCACAUCUCAGCUGUGUGACUUUGAUCAUGUCCUUGGACUAGUCUGGCUUGCGGAAGGUGCUCCUAUUGACCUCAAAGAAGAGAGACAUGGCUUUGUGAUUAGCAAGGUGCUCCGCCCAUGGAAAAAAAAUGCAACAUGCCUUGCAUCAUUUUUGAAUGUGAACUUAGAUGACAGCAAUGUGGAAAUGGGGUGAAAUCACCAGAAAAACAGAUUUGUUGCUGCAAUAACAUUUCUUUCAAGAAAACCUGGUCCCUAGAGGUGGGCCUGGUUGCUGACAUUUGAAUACCUCCACAUUUCCAAGGAACAGAGUUCUUUUUCCCUGCGUGACUAGAAGCUUAAAACAUUACCCUCUAAUGAACACCAGAUGGUAGAUCUGGAAUGCCUGGCCUGCAAGCCUGGCCUGGAUGCCCCUUAGCUUGCUUCACUUAUACAGUACCUGGGCCAACAACUCAGCAGACUGAACAGGAGAGAGAAGCCUAGGGUUUAACCACCCUAUAUCACAAAGUACCUGUGGCUGCCAGGCGAUGCCAAUGACAUUCUCAGCCUGUGAUGUCACAGACAAAUCUUUUAGCAGAAAUGGUUGAUGGGCCACUGAGAAGCCAAUGCUUUGGCCUGCACUGUGUCCAUUCCCUUACUUGUUUCACAUCCUGCUUUCUAGAAAUAUCUAAAGAUGUCAUAUCCCUAUUUUUUACUUUUUCCUGUGGAAAAAAAAAAACCCACCAUGCUUGAAAUGCACCAUUCUGUCAUGCUAUGGUAUAAUUUUAUGUAUCGUGCUUAAGAAGA